rnacentral:rRNA from 1 species
GAUGAACGUUGGCGGCGUGCCUAAUACAUGCAAGUCGAGCGAACAGAUGAGGAGCUUGCUCCUCUGACGUUAGCGGCGGACGGGUGAGUAACACGUGGAUAACCUACCUAUAAGACUGGGAUAACUUCGGGAAACCGGAGCUAAUACCGGAUAAUAUAUUGAACCGCAUGGUUCAAUAGUGAAAGACGGUUUUGCUGUCACUUAUAGAUGGAUCCGCGUCGCAUUAGCUAGUUGGUAAGGUAACGGCUUACCAAGGCAACGAUGCGUAGCCGACCUGAGAGGGUGAUCGGCCACACUGGAACUGAGACACGGUCCAGACUCCUACGGGAGGCAGCAGUAGGGAAUCUUCCGCAAUGGGCGAAAGCCUGACGGAGCAACGCCGCGUGAGUGAUGAAGGUCUUCGGAUCGUAAAACUCUGUUAUUAGGGAAGAACAAAUGUGUAAGUAACUAUGCACGUCUUGACGGUACCUAAUCAGAAAGCCACGGCUAACUACGUG